UACAGAGGUCUCAAGCGUUGUUCGGAUUCAUUGGGCGUAAAGGGUGUGUAGGUGGCGCCGUAAGUCGGGUGUGAAAUUUCGGAGCUUAACUCCGAAACUGCAUUUGAUACUGCCUUGCUUGAGGACUGGAGAGGAGACUGGAAUUCACGGUGUAGCAGUGAAAUGCGUAGAUAUCGUGAGGAAGACCAGUGGCGAAGGCGGGUCUCUGGACAGUUCCUGACACUGAGGCACGAAGGCCAGGGGAGCAAACGGG
rnacentral:rRNA from 1 species